rnacentral:rRNA from 1 species
UGGCGGCGUGCCUAACACAUGCAAGUCGAACGAGAAACUCCGGGCUUGCUCGGAGAAGUAAAGUGGCGCACGGGUGAGUAACGCGUGGGUAACCUGCCCUUGAAUUUGGGAUAACUUCGCGAAAGCGUUGCUAAUACCGAAUAUUGUUCAUUAAACCUUGGUUUUUUGAAUGAAAGGUGACCUCUUCAUGAAAGUUGCCUGUUCAAGGAGGGGCUCGCGUACCAUUAGCUUGUUGGUGGGGUAAUGGCCUACCAAGGCUACGAUGGUUAGCUGGUCUGAGAGGAUGAUCAGCCACACUGGAACUGAAACACGGUCCAGACUCCUACGGGAGGCAGCAGUGAGGAAUUUUGCGCAAUGGGGGAAACCCUGACGCAGCAACGCCGCGUGAGUGAAGAAGGCUCUCGGGUCGUAAAGCUCUGUCAGAUGGGAAAAAAUUUUUNGUGGUUAACAGCCACUGAGCCUGAUGGUACCAUCAGAGGAAGCACCGGCUAACUCCGUGCCAGCAGCCGCGGUAAUGCGGAGGGUGCAAGCGUUGUUCGGAAUUACUGGGCGUAAAGAGCGUGUAGGCGGUAUGGUAGUCAGAUGUGAAA